UUUUAAAAAUGCAUCUAAAAUCAAUUAAUAACCAACAUUUCUCUCUCUUGCAUACAUGCACGCACUGAUUGGGCACAACUGGGCUAAACGUAGUCUCAUGCCAAGUAUUUUAUUUUAAUUGUUUUAUUUACAGUCAAAACGCAACAGCAUCAAAUCUGUAUUAAUGCAUCAUAUCUAAGAAUAAUUCAGUGACGAAGCAACUAAGAGAAAUGCCUGUUUUUCCUUCCAUCUGGAAUAAAUUUUACAAAAACAUUGUCAUGGAAGGCUAGUACAUGUAAAGAUGGUGAAAAGAUGUUUAAAACAUUUUAUAUUGUUCUUUGUGAGUUUACAACAUUACGUCGUCAUGUCAACGAAGUUGUAAAAUUAAGGACAUUACGUCGUCAUGACAACAAAGUUGUAAAAUUAAGGACAUUACGUCGUCGUGACAACAAAGUUGUAAAAUUAGGGACAUUACGUCGUCGUGACAGUUGUAAAAUUAGGGACAUUACGUCGUCGUGACAACAAAGUUGUAAAAUUAGGGACAUUACGUCGUCGUGACAACAAAGUUGUAAAAUUAGGGACAUUACGUCGUCGUGACAACAAAGUUGUAAAAUUAGGGACAUUGUCGUCGUGGCAACAAAGUUGUAAAAUUAGGGACAUUACGUCGUCGUGACAGUUGUAAAAUUAGGGACAUUACGUCGUCGUGACAGUUGUAAAAUUAGGGACAUUACGUCGUCGUGACAACAAAGUUGUAAAAUUAGGGACAUUGUCGUCGUGGCAACAAAGUUGUAAAAUUAGGGACAUUACGUCGUCGUGGCAACAAAGUUGUAAAAUUAGGGACAUUACGUCGUCGUGGCAACAAAGUUGUAAAAUUAGGGACAUAACGUCAUCGUGGCAACAAAGUUGUAAAAUUAGGGACAUGUCGUCGUGGCAACAAGGUUGUAAAAUUAGGGACAUAACGUCAUCGUGGCAACAAAGUUGUAAAAUUAGGGCCAUUACGUCGUCGUGGCAACAAAGUUGUAAAAUUAGGGACAUUACGUCGUCGUGGCAACAAAGUUGUAAAAUUAGGGACAUAACGUCAUCGUGGCAACAAAGUUGUAAAAUUAGGGCCAUUACGUCGUCGUGGCAACAAAGUUGUAAAAUUAAGGACAUUACGUCGUCGUGACAACAAAGUUGUAAAAUUAGGGACAUUACAUCGUCGUGACAGUUGUAAAAUUAGGGACAUUACGUCGUCGUGACAACAAAGUUGUAAAAUUAAGGACAUUAUGUCGUCGUGACAACAAAGUUGUAAAAUUAGGGACAUUACGUCGUCGUGGCAACAAAGUUGUAAAAUUAGGGCCAUUACGUCGUCGUGGCAACAAAGUUGUAAAAUUAGGGCCAUUACGUCAUCGUGGCAACAAAGUUGUAAAAUUAGGGACAUAACGUCAUCGUGGCAACAAAGUUGUAAAAUUAGGGCCAUUACGUCGUCGUGGCAACAAAGUUGUAAAAUUAAGGACAUUACGUCGUCGUGACAACAAAGUUGUAAAAUUAGGGACAUUACGUCGUCGUGACAGUUGUAAAAUUAGGGACAUUACGUCGUCGUGACAACAAAGUUGUAAAAUUAAGGACAUUAUGUCGUCGUGACAACAAAGUUGUAAAAUUAGGGACAUUACGUCGUCGUGACAGUUGUAAAAUUAGGGACAUUACGUCGUCGUGACAACAAAGUUGUAAAAUUAGGGACAUUACGUCGUCGUGACAACAAAGUUGUAAAAUUAGGGACAUUACGUCGUCGUGACAGUUGUAAAAUUAGGGACAUUACGUCGUCGUGACAGUUGUAAAAUUAGGGACAUUACGUCGUUGUGACAACAAAGUUGUAAAAUUAGGGACAUUGUCAUCGUGGCAACAAAGUUGUAAAAUUAGGGACAUUACGUCGUCGUGGCAACAAAGUUGUAAAAUUAGGGACAUUACGUCGUCGUGGCAACAAAGUUGUAAAAUUAGGGACAUUAUGUCGUCGUGGCAACAAAGUUGUAAAAUUAGGGACAUUAUGUCGUCGUGGCAACAAAGUUGUAAAAUUAGGGACAUUACGUCGUCGUGGCAACAAGGUUGUAAAAUUAGGGACAUAACGUCGUCGUGGCAACAAAGUUGUAAAAUUAGGGACAUUACGUCGUCGUGGCAACAAGGUUGUAAAAUUAGGGACAUAACGUCGUCGUGGCAACAAAGUUGUAAAAUUAGGGACAUUACGUCGUCGUGGCAACAAAGUUGUAAAAUUAGGGACAUUACGUCGUCGUGGCAACAAAGUUGUAAAAUUAGGGACAUUACGUCGUCGUGGCAACAAAGUUGUAAAAUUAGGGACAUUACGUCGUCGUGGCAACAAAGUUGUAAAAUUAGGGACAUUACGUCGUCGUGGCAACAAAGUUGUAAAAUUAGGGACAUUACGUC